AUGACUAUUUUGCAAAUUAUGAA
rnacentral:snRNA from 1 species